rnacentral:lncRNA from 1 species
AAUCCAGGAGGUCCCAACAUGUGGUCAAUGUUUAAUGACUUUAUCACCCUGAGAUUAUUGGUGUACCCUAAUCGUACUAAUUAAACAAAUGUCAGUAAUAAUUGAACGAAUAGUGUCAAUAUAGCUAAAACUAUUGAUAAACUUAUCUAGUGUUCACUUUAUCACAUUUGUAGACAACUAACUCACAUGGGCUCACCUUACAGUCUAGUCUCUGUUCUCUACUUGACAAUAUUCAUGCUAAAUCCCACCUACUAAUUCCUCCUAAAGAAGCGACAAAAAAUAUUCCUCAUUAGGAGAAUAAUC